rnacentral:tRNA from 1 species
GCCGCCAUCGCGUAACCCGGUAUCGCAAACGCCUGGAAAGCGUUGCCCGCGAGGGCUUCCCGGUUCAAAUCCGGGUGGCGGCG